ACAACCUGAACCCAAACUUUUUUUCCAACCUGAUUGUCCCAUGUACAUGUGCCACACCCUUCAGCUAAACCAAAACUUUCACCUUCCACCCUGUGGUGGAUAGGCUCUCUGGUGCCUCCCCAUCAUCCCCAUCUCCUGACAUUUAUGGCCUUGAAUAGUACUGUCCCCUGGGUAUGACCAUGACCUGUGAUUUGCUUCUAACCAACAGGAUGCAGCAAACAAGACAGGAGGAAUGUGAUUACAUGUUUAUGAUUACAUAGAGAAUAAGGUGUGAUCAUCUUGUGAAAGUUUAUUUUUUCCUGGCUGUAUUUAAAGAACUAUACUGCCAUGUUGCAGGCUGUAUGUUGGGUGACCACUGUGACAAGGAACUUAGGGUGGUCUCUAGGAGCUGAGGAUGUUCUCCAGUUGAACAUCAACAGGACAUUGAAAUUCUCUGUCCUUCAACUGCAAGGAACUAAAUUUUGCCAACACAAAUGAAUCUUUCUCCAGUUGAGUUUCAGAUGAGACUGCACUUGCAGACAAAUCCUUAUUGCAAUCUUGUUCACCCUAAACAGAGGACUCAGCUAAGCCCUUCCCAGAUUCCAGAUCUAUAGAAAUUUUAAGAUGAGAAUUGUGCAUCAAUGUUCAAGUCCCAAGAGAUGUUAUCAGUCUGAACAGCCCAGUGAACAAGUAUUUGUGACUCUCCUUCCAAAUGAAACGUUCUAUAGAAAGGUGGAAGUGUAUUGAUUACUGGCAGGAUUCUCUGGUCAUCUUAUCCUACAUGAUUCUUCCUCCACGUCUGUCAACAUGGAGUUUUGUACUCAGCAAAAUAAAAAUCUUUCAAAACUGAGGACCAAAACAAACAAACAAAAAAAGACAUUUUUUAUAUUAAAAAACCAAGAGACUUCUCUGGUAGCAAAUUAAAACUACAAUAAAUGGUUAAAUGAAGGAACAUGAUAUCAAUUGG